AGUGAACGCUGGCGGUAGGCCUAACACAUGCAAGUCGAACGGCAGCACAGUAAGAGCUUGCUCUUACGGGUGGCGAGUGGCGGACGGGUGAGGAAUACAUCGGAAUCUACUUUUUCGUGGGGGAUAACGUAGGGAAACUUACGCUAAUACCGCAUACGACCUACGGGUGAAAUCAGGGGAUCUUCGGACCUUGCGCGAUUGAAUGAGCCGAUGUCGGAUUAGCUAGUUGGCGGGGUAAAGGCCCACCAAGGCGACGAUCCGUAGCUGGUCUGAGAGGAUGAUCAGCCACACUGGAACUGAGACACGGUCCAGACUCCUACGGGAGGCAGCAGUGGGGAAUAUUGGACAAUGGGCGCAAGCCUGAUCCAGCCAUACCGCGUGGGUGAAGAAGGCCUUCGGGUUGUAAAGCCCUUUUGUUGGGAAAGAAAAGCAGCAGGUUAAUACCCCGCUGUUCGGACGGUACCCAAAGAAUAAGCACCGGCUAACUUCGU
rnacentral:rRNA from 1 species